AACAUUACUAUUUGUUUUAAUAUUUUCCAAUAAAAACAACUACUGUUUUAGUGACUGAUAUUUUAUUUCCUUUAAUAUUUAGGCAAGAAUUCCAUAGAAUAGCAAUAAAAAGAUAUCUAUUCCCUGCACCACCGAAGAGUCUUUGAACAAGCAAGCAGCUACCUUCUUUUUCGAGUGUCAGCCUGCUGGAAAGUCCUAUAAAGUGCAGUGCUGUGCUAUCACUUUAAGGAAUGCUGCAUGUGGAUACAACACUAAGGAAGCUGAAGCUUUGUAGAGCAUAUCAUCUCUCCAGGCCCCCAUCUCAGAUUG
rnacentral:lncRNA from 1 species